AUGGCCUCUUCUCCUGUACUCGUCUCUCCAUAGGCUCCUGUAAAAAAUCACAAGAAAGAGAGGGAGAGACAGAAAGAGAGGGUAGAGGAGAGGAAGAGCAGUUAAAAGAAUAACAGAGUAUACUUCAUUUCACACAGAAGCAAUAUCUUCCAUGGCCACUGACAGAGAAUGUCCUUGUUCCAUGACCUCGUAUCUCAUAUAAGUCACAUGACAUUCCUGAUGACAUCAUCCAAUGACCCUCACAGAAAUAGGACAGUUUCACAAUAAAAAAACAUGUAAAAGACAAUGUAUUAACCUUGUAUCCUCAAUACACUUGAAUGCUUAAUCCUUU